rnacentral:lncRNA from 1 species
GUCAGCAACCUGCCUGCAGAUCUCUCUAUCUCCCACACACACACACACACACACAGCCUCUUACACUUAGGCUGUGUUUACACCGGCAGCCCAAUACAGAUCUUUUGACCAAGCGAAACGGAUAUCUUUUCACAUCAGAUCAUUUUCAGAGUGGAUCUGAUUGGUCGAAAGACCAAUUAGUGAAACAAAUAUCAGAAUUGGGUUGCCUGUGUGAAUGCGGCUGUAUACUGUUAGAAUGCUCCUGGAUUUGUAUAGUCAAAUGUUUUGCCGCGUGAUUUCUACACUGCUCUGAUAUGUGGGGUUGUGUCUGCUGUUUCAUAUCAUCCGUCUGUGUUCUGUUCCAGACCAGUCUCAGGAAAAGAGGGCGAACUCUGUUGCUGUGGCAGGGGCAGUGAUGGGGGCUGUCCUCGCCCUCUUCCUCAUAGCCGUCUUCACCAUCGUCAUCCUCACUGCACGGAAGACCUCGGCCCCAACGUACACAGACAAAGUGAUUGAUCUACCUCCGACGCACAAGCCUCCUCCUCCCUACACAGAGAGACCAUCAGUCAUCCCUCUGGUUGUCCACACACCACAGGUGGCCUCCCUUUCACAGGCUCACAGGGCUGUGCGGCAGUUUGAGAUGGCAGAGAGAACUGCCAGGCUCACACCCCGGGAACCCCGAAGCCCCUCCCACCAGCCUCUGUCCUAUCAGGAGUGGGUGUGUCACCAGAACGGGGCGGAUCGUAUCUACAUCAACCACCGGGAACACUAUGUGUGACGGACACGUCCUAAACCUUCUAUGGACCUGUCAAUCAAUCACUCACCCUGCCCCACCCAUCGCCAUGCAGGCUCACAGAUGCCAGCCUUUUCAAUGUGAAGAACCCAGGCAAAGAAAUAGUUUAUGACUUGACCAAGCCUUCAUAGAUGAGUCUACUCCACAUUUAACAUAAUUUGAGAGCAGCAGUUAUCACCUGUAAGAAGCAAGACUAAUGAGGCCGGAGCAUAAACUGCUGAGUUUCUCUGAGGAACGACAACCCAAACACCCCUCCACUCCCCUUCUCCGAACCACCGCACACACACCUGUUCUGUUCCCAACCACAUCAAUGAACAGAGGAUAACAGCAUAGGGAAGAGCAGGAAGACCGAUUUGGUACAGUACCACAAAGUAACUAUUUAAAAUGGAACACUAAGCUCUGCUGUGUGCUGUAUAGGAGUGGAAUCAUAUGAAAACACCAUACUAAGCUCUAUGUAUAGCAGUUGAAUGUGUUACUAUGUCACUGUGGCUGUGUGAUAAUCCUGUGUACAGUUAUGCUCUUUGAAUUAGUUAGAACUAAUACAUUUUUGCACUUGGAAUUGAAACAUAAAUCAUUCAUACAUCAGUGGAAAAAUCCGAUUUGUGUUAUUUCGCUGCAAUUUCGUAGAGGUCUUUCUGGCGCCAUUUAUAUAUUGAAGGGGAUCUUCUCAACUGUUGAUGAUUUUGUGUUCUCACUCUUCCAUUGUGAGUAGAUAAUAUAUAUGCAGUGUUUGUUUUUUACACAGUGGUCAGGGUUAGAGUUUUUUAAACCAUCAUAUUUAUACAGUAUAGGUAGUCUGUGUACAUGACAACGUUUUUAUAUGGUCAAACGUUCGGAAGAGUAGUCGCAGCCUUAGAGGCAUCUGCUAAGGACGUUAGCCCCACAUAGCAGUGUGUUAAUGAGUUAGGCCUCCGUGCCUCUCCUGUACUGGUGGGGACCAGGGCUCUAGCUGAGCCAACCCACAAUAAGGCCAUUGUUUGUUUCCCUGCCACUAGUGAAUAAGCUCUCAGGAAUGCAUUAACUAUUGAAAUAUAAAAAUGUGUCAGUUUCCAUCAGCU